GAAGGGAUCAACAAUGAAGCUCUGAUCGCCUGCGUUGAGGCUCGGCCUGCCCUUUGGCAAGCGAAGCAUAAACACCACAAAAAUAAGCACAUGACGAGGUGCUUGUGGACCGAGGUGGCGAGGAUCGUCAUGCCCGACGCUGCCGUAACAGAUGACGUUAUCACAGCGCUACAGAAGCGCUGGAAAUCCCUGAGGGAUAAAUUUCGCCGCCUUCUGAAGGGACUGCAGGAAGAAAAAAAGAGCGGCGCCGGUGCAGACGACGUGCAGGACGACGUCGUCUGGCCGUUUUUCGAGCAAAUGAUGUUCCUGCGCGACACAAUGGAAUAUAGACCGUAAGUGAUAUUGAAGUUUCAAUCUUAGCCGACGUGUUGAAAAUGAAACACGGGAUGCAAGUGUUUUCCGUUUACUAUGUUGACCGGCGAUGCCGUAUGUUUAUAUUGUAGCAGGUAAUGGGCCGAACUUGUUGGCCCCCAAAAUCGCGCUUACAUGAGUAAAUCGACGCUUAGUAUGCUUAUAUUCAGCUUUGUCUAAUUGGCGAUAAAAGAUGUGUGCGUCAUCGCUACUGCGAUUAUCGCAUAUUUCGUUAAAUGUGAUCUGGUCAGGGCACAUAUAUGCAGUACAAGGAUAGUUUUGUAUAUUUAUUUAGGUACCCACAAAGCCGGUUUUUCUUUGCAGUGGGUAGCAGAGAAAGUAGAAAAACAAGUACAAAAUAACACCUAAAGUAGCACAUACAAACCUAAUAUAAUAAAGCACAAGACAGAAGUGCAGAGAAUAGCACAUACAAACUAGCAGGGCAAACUAAAAGAAAAGGACUUGCCUGAUGCACACACA
rnacentral:lncRNA from 1 species